rnacentral:tRNA from 1 species
GCCCUGGUGGCACAAUGGUUAAGCAUUCGGCUGAUAACUGAAAGAUUGGUGAUUCAAACCCACCCAGUGGCU